rnacentral:rRNA from 1 species
UACGGGGGGAGCAAGCGUUGUUCGGAGUCACUGGGCGUAAAGGGCGCGUAGGCGGUGCGUAAAGUCAGGCGUGAAAGCCCCGGACUUAACCUGGGAAUUGCGCUUGAUACUGACGUGCUAGAGAACGGGAGAGGAUGGCGGAAUUCCCAGUGUAGAGGUGAAAUUCGUAGAUAUUGGGAAGAACACCGGUGGCGAAGGCGGCCAUCUGGACCAUUCUGACACUGAGACGCGAAAGCGUCGGGUAGCAAA